rnacentral:rRNA from 1 species
UGGGGAAUUUUGGACAAUGGGCGAAAGCCUGAUCCAGCAAUGCCGCGUGUGUGAAGAAGGCCUUCGGGUUGUAAAGCACUUUUGUCCGGAAAGAAAUCCUUGGCUCUAAUACAGUCGGGGGAUGACGGUACCGGAAGAAUAAGCACCGGCUAACUACGUGCCAGCAGCCGCGGUAAUACGUAGGGUGCAAGCGUUAAUCGGAAUUACUGGGCGUAAAGCGUGCGCAGGCGGUUUGCUAAGACCGAUGUGAGAUCCCCGGGCUCAACCUGGGAACUGCAUUGGUGACUGGCAGGCUAGAGUAUGGCAGAGGGGGGUAGAAUUCCACGUGUAGCAGUGAAAUGCGUAGAGAUGUGGAGGAAUACCGAUGGCGAAGGCAGCCCCCUGGGCCAAUACUGACGCUCAUGCACGAAAGCGUGGGGAGCAAACAGGAUUAGAUACCCUGGUAGUCCACGCCCCUAAACGAUGUCAACUAGUUGUUGGGGAUUCAUUUCCUUAGUAACGUAGCUAACGCGUGAAGUUGACCGCCUGGGGAGUACGGUCGCAAGAUU